rnacentral:lncRNA from 12 species
GCUGCAAGGCCUGCAAGGACUGUGGUCCCCCAGGGCGGCCUCUGACUUGCGGCGUGCUGCCUGGGGCUGGUGGGUAGGCCCGUGCAAUUUGGCUGAUCCACUACAAUUUCCUCCUACACUCGGAGCUGCUCUGCAGGCUGACCUUAGACAAUUUGUCUUCUUUCAGGGAGAAAUGUCACCCGAAAGGAAGCUAUUAAGUCAAGAAGGUAAUUCUCUCAGAACGGUCCACUGUAUAAACAGAACUUGACCUCAGGUAAUUUAUUGCUGGUCCCUAACAAAGAGACUUAAGAUAUAGGCCUGAUAUAGUGGAGAUCUGAAUCUGUCAAUAAAAAGGGCAAACCAGAACCUAAGAAGGUUUCUUUUGAGCGGCCGUAUUUAGAGUAGAAGCCACAUGAAUAAAUUCUUCAAAUAAAGAAGAGUGGCAUUUGGUCUUUUGGAAUGAAAAGUUUGUUUUAUCAACAAAUCGGAAGUGUGUGUUUGCACUGUGAAGCCUCUAUUUGUCUUGUUCUUUGACAUAUUCUCACUCAUUUGAUUGUGAGGCUAACAUCUAAAUGUGAUAGAGAGGUUACAUUUUUCCUAAAAACAGUGAGUUGGAUUCGGUGCUCAAGAUCCAGGUAUGCCCCCAGAUUGCCCCAGAUUUCUGUUUUCACAGAACCUAAGUGGAAUGAAUGGUGCUCCUUGGGGUCUGAGGGAACCAUGGGCGACAGACAGCAUCUCAUGGGCUGUGAACUCAGAAGGGCCCAGAUUUUCCACUCCGACAUCAAGCUGCAUCAGGGAAAACCUUCCCUACCUCCAGCCCACUGCCCACAGCCCUUUCUUUCCUGGCCUGUCCCCUUCUGCGGUCCCAUCCCAUCCACCAGCCAGCUCCACUAGGGUCUGCAGCCUGGAGACCACCCACAGCCCACAAGUGGAGACCUGCUAAAAACCUGUCAACCACAGCUGACACCGAACCCAUCAGGUUAGAUUCUAAUGCUGUGAAAAGGUCUAUGAAAUUUUUCCACAGAGUACUGCUUGGUGUGGACAUUCUAGGCCGGAGAGUAGCAACUUAGCCUCUGCUUCUUGGCUGGCACUGACCUUCAAAAUGAUGGGUGUACAGAAUUCUGAAACCCCCUGGAAUCUCCAUUUGUCCAGUCUAUAAAAUGGAGUUAAUGCCACGACUGGAUUCCCUGGACAAAUUGCAACGCUUCCCUUGAACGCACGAAGUGCUUUGAGAUCCUCAUGGGAAAAUCCUAAAGGAGGAAUUGGAAAGCAUAAUGAUGUUUUUUUAAAUUGAAAGUGACAACCAGCAUUUAGUGGGGGAAUCAGAAGAUAGAACUGAGAGCAGGAAGCCUUACAUUCAUUACAACAGAUGGUUUAGUUUUCACUGAAUGAUGAGGAUGAAGCUGAGCGAAUGAACAGCGCUAUGUCCUUAAAAGAUUCAGCAGCCACCCAAUUACCCAGGAACAAUCUAGCAGUUACUCAAGAUGUGGACUGGUCUGUAUUAUGCUCAGCGAAGCAUUCCUACUGGGUUUGACUUCAGCUGGUGGGAGUCAUAGGCACGGUGUUCCACUAUUAAAUAACACUGGCAUAAUUACCCCUGGCAUGGCUUUAAAAAAUAAGAUUUCAUUCAAAUUCCUAGCACAGAAAGAAGUCACAUAGCAAUCCGCAAUAAAGGCCUGUUGAAAAAAAAAAAAAUAGUGAAU